UACAGAGGGGGCAAGCGUUAUUCGGAAUUAUUGGGCGUAAAGGCGCGUAGGCGGCCUGGCAAGUGGAAGGUGAAAUCCCUCGGCUUAACCGAGGAACUGCCCUCCAAACUGCUUGGCUUGAGUCCGGGAGAGGUGAGUGGAAUUCCCAGUGUAGCGGUGAAAUGACGUAGAUAUUGGGAGGAACACCAGUGGCGAAGGCGGCUCACUGGACCGGAACUGACGCUGAGGCGCGAAAGCGUGGGGAGCAACGGG
rnacentral:rRNA from 1 species